UUGCAACCAUAGAUUAUCCUCCACAAGGAUAUCGUGCAAUCGCAAAUCACCAAGGAAUAAUCCCAAUUUUGACAAGUAUUUGGUUACCUCUAGUAGUUGAUAGACUAUAAAUUGGAAAGUCUGUUAGUUUCUUUUUCUGUUCGAGACAUUGCAGGCAUCCUUUGUCAACAAUUAUAACAAAGCGAUCUGGAAACGAACAUGUUGGCUAGCAAUACCCAACUCGGCCCAAAUCAAAUCCAUUUGGAUUUGUUUUUUUUUUUUUCUGUUUUUUUGCAUAUUUUUUUUAUUCUUUUUUAAUAAAUUUAUAAUCUUUUUUACACGAAAAAAAACAUGACUGCAAGCAAUAUUCAAGUUGCUAUUAAAGUUCGUCCAAUUGAGCCCAACGAAGCCAGCAAAUGGGAAGUGGAUGAGAAAAUAAGUUAGCUUCAUAGAAAUUGACAAAGGAAAAAUCCAUGAGCUUCUAAAUAAAUUCAAUACAGAUCUUUAAAUUCAUGAAACCUCAAAUGAUGAAGUUCCAGUCAAUUGCAGUAAAAAUAUUAUAACAUGUGAGCAGGAUUUGCUUGUGUACUUGCGUGAAGGUAGUAAACAAAGAAGAAUCGGUGAAAUGCAUGUGAAUGAAGAAUGAACGUUCCAGUCGAUCGCAUAUUAUUUUUCGAAUUAUUAUAGAAUCCCGAAAAAUUGACCAAGCCGAUGAAGAGCCUGUACAAAUAAGUGUUUUGAAUCUUGCUGAUCUAGCUGGCUCUGGGAGAGCAGAUCAAACAGGGGAAACGGGUUCUCGUUUCAAAGAAGGUGGCUGAAGCUAAAUGUGUCUGUUAUCGUGACUCGAAACUAACAAGAAUAUUACAAGCAUCGUUGGGUGGUAAUGCUUUAACUGCUAUCAUUUGUAAUAACAAUCCAACGGAUGUGGAAGAAACAUUGUCCACGCUGAGGUUACAGGAUAGUUUAAAAAUAAUAUUGCACAAAAGCUUAUAUCUGUAUUCUAUUUCAAUUUCGCAAAUUGCGCCAAAGUAAACUCUGGGUGUAACUGAUGAUAAAUCGUUUACUACAUUGCAACAAGAGCAGCAAAAACUGCCUCCACAACAUCACAAAAAACUUCCGCCACCGCAGAAGCAUCCACCUCAGCAACCGCACCAUCAGGCACCUUCUCACAUGAUUCCUCCACAACAUUCCCAACCACCUCCACAGCAUCAGCAAUCAAACCACCGCCAUUUGGUUUUGACCGCCCUGAGGCUACGGUCACGGUGGGUAUCAACCUACAUGGGGCAUAUUAUCAUGAAAUAUGCAAUAAUGCAACAACACGUGCCAUUCCGCAACAAGAAAACCUUUUGAAGCAAAACCAAGAAGAGUUUUGCGAAAAAGAUUUUAAUUGUGGUCACAUGAGCCACUUCAAAACUAUAUACAUCAAGUGGAAACGAAUUUCUUUGAAAACUUAUCCCCAAGAAUUGUCGAAUUAUUUGAUGUACUCUGUAAUAUGUUAAUAUCAGCAACUUAUAUAUUUGGCUACUAUACUGUCUUUCGCAAUGUCGCAAGGAGAGGCAAUUAAUUCUACUGUUAAAAUAAAUAUUGUCGAGCGAAGCUUACUGAUCUCGCACAAAGCUAAGCUUGAACCUAGAGGAUCAAAUUGUUUCUAUAUAAAAGCUGAAGCAGGUUUAUAAUUGAAUAAGAUUAUAUCCGAACUUCUUAACAAUCAAAGUGGAGAUGAAUCUAUCAUAAGCAGUGUGGACGAACUCCAAAGGCAACUAAAUGAACAGCGUAAGUAAAUUGGUUAUCUUUCUGCCAAAUAAGAUCCCAAAUCGUGAACUUCAGCUAAUGCUAGCUGAACAAAAUGCAAAAUUCAUUGGAGAAAUUGCAUCACUUCAACAAGACAACGAUGAGCUAGAAUCCAAACAAAAUUUUUUCUCAAAUCGAAAUUAGAUGAAAUGAGGGCUGAGUUCGGUUUGGACAUAAUCAAAUCCCUGUUGCUUAUGUACAAAAAAAGAAAUUUUGAAUAUUAAACAUCAAAAAACAAACUAAGAUCGAAGAAAACGAUGUGGCUGCACCAACAAGGAGAAACAACCAGUACUGUUAAUAGGCUUACAAAUAUGCAGGAAAAAGUCCAGACAUUGAAGUAAAAAAUAUCACAAAACGAGUCAUUAAGGGCAAAAAUUGAAGCGCAACUUGCCGCCCAUAAAGCGCAAAUCGAUUCUCUAGAAAACUGAGCUGAAGAAUAUUUGAAGAAGCUCGCUUUGCGGCGGAAAUUUAAUUCUCUUGUUGGCAGCAAACCUAAAAAACCUUGCCAAAUGUUCAGCUUUUGGAAUUUUGGAGAGCAUGGCCGACUACACUCAUCACACAUUCAUUUGUUGUUGGACUUUUUUUUUCUUGGAAUCUUCGUUCAACACUCAGUUGGAUAGCUCGGUGCGUAUAAACAUUGGCAUACAUUGGCUGGUUGUUGCGCUUGAAUAAGAAGGUAAUUGUCACGUGGGAGCUCGCUGUGUGUGAUUCGAAAAUUAUUUUGGACAAGGAACCAGGUCAAGGAUGUACUUUUCGGGUAAAUUUGAAGUGUAUUUGUUUAUAAAAAUUGAAAUAAAAAAUUGUAUAAAUAA